rnacentral:misc_RNA from 1 species
UCCGAGUUGACCCCGCUUUCACGAGGAUUUCACCAGGAUGUCAAGCCCAGGUAAGGUUCUUCGCGUUGCUUCGAAUUAAACCACAUGCUCCACCGCUUGUGCGGGCCCCCGUCAAUUCCUUUGAGUUUCAGCCUUGCGGCCGUACUCCCCAGGCGGGGCACUUAUCGCGUUAGCUGCGACACGGAGAGGGUCGAUCCCCCCCGCGUCUAGUGCCCAUCGUUUACGGCGUGGACUAC